CUCCCGGUUGAUCCUGCCGGACCCGACUGCUAUCAGAGUGGGACUAAGCCAUGCGAGUCAACAUAGCAAUAUGUGGCAUACGGCUCAGUAACACGUAGUCAACAUGCCCAGGGGACGUGGAUAACCUCGGGAAACUGAGGAUAAACCGCGAUAGGUCAUCACUUCUGGAAUGGGUAAUGACUUAAAUCUAUAUGGCCCCUGGAUUGGACUGCGGCCGAUCAGGCUGUUGGUGAGGUAAUGGCCCACCAAACCUGUAACCGGUACGGGCUCUGAGAGGAGGAGCCCGGAGAUGGGCACUGAGACAAGGGCCCAGGCCCUAUGGGGCGCAGCAGGCGCGAAACCUCUGCAAUAGGCGAAAGCUUGACAGGGUUACUCUGAGUGAUUUCCGUUAAGGAGAUCUUUUGGCACCUCUAAAAAUGGUGCAGAAUAAGGGGUGGGCAAGUCUGGUGUCAGCCGCCGCGGUAAUACCAGCACCCCGAGUGGUCGGGACGUUUAUUGGGCCUAAAGCAUCCGUAGCCGGUUCUACAAGUCUUCCGUUAAAUCCACCUGCUUAACAGAUGGGCUGCGGAAGAUACUAUAGAGCUAGGAGGCGGGAGAGGCAAGCGGUACUCGAUGGGUAGGGGUAAAAUCCGUUGAUCCAUUGAAGACCACCAGUGGCGAAGGCGGCUUGCCAGAACGCGCUCGACGGUGAGGGAUGAAAGCUGGGGGAGCAAACCGGAUUAGAUACCCGGGUAGUCCCAGCUGUAAACGAUGCAGACUCGGUGAUGAGUUGGCUUCUUGCCAACUCAGUGCCGCAGGGAAGCCGUUAAGUUUGCCGCCUGGGGAGUACGGUCGCAAGACUGAAACUUAAAGGAAUUGGCGGGGGAGCA
rnacentral:rRNA from 1 species